CAAUUGAUGAAAAUAAGAAACUCUGCUAGUUGCAUAUCUUUUAAGGCAAGAAAAUAAUUAAUAAUUACACCUCUCUGUAGUCAGUAUUUUCAUCCAAUUGGGUUUCUGCACCAGUGUCUACUCAUUCACAAUAUACAUACAAAUUUAGAUAGCAGAACAUUGUAGAUCAGUAGGAAAUUUUCAUGGUAAAAUUCAUGUCAACAAAAAGAACAUGCAUAGAGCCAUCGUGAGAUUUGGGGCCACAAAAGUAGUAAGGAAAAGGAAGAAACAAACGAAGAUAAGGACAUUUUUGCUCGGUAGUACUCACUGAUCCGUGCUGAAGAGAAAGACAUGAGACUGGACAAAGAAGCACUGCUCUACGUUGUGAACACACCCAUCAGUUCAUGCACAUAAAGGGCACCAUCCUCGAGCAAAAUCAACUGAAAAAAUUGACGUCAAAAAGAGAGGAGUAUAUCUUCUAAACUCAAAUUAUAGCUACAACAAAACAAUGCUCGGCCUUCUCAAGCAAGGGCAAAAUUCAGAGAUGUACGUACUGAGGAGGUGUUCAAGUUGAGCAGACGCGAGGUACUGGAUGUCAAGGGGUAUGGUCAAGGGGUACAGGGGUGUACAUCAUCGGCGGCGCUGGGGAUUUGGCCGUUGCUGAUGAAAGUAUGACGUCUGUGCUCUCAAACACCACCAGAUGGUGGUAAAACUUCAGUAGUAGAGAGGACACCCAACCGAGAACAUCUAAAGAAACACAAAUCGUUAAUUCACUCUAGUUUAUUUUUGAUAGGAAAAAUAAGCAAUAGCGUUGUAAAAUAAAAGGAAUUGUCAGAUUCAGUAGCUUCAUAUGAGAAAUUGAAUGGACACACAAACGACGGUACUCAAUAAUCAAGUGGGUAAG
rnacentral:lncRNA from 1 species